ACGAACGCUGGCGGCGUGCUUAACACAUGCAAGUCGCACGGAAAGGCCCUGCUUUUGUGGGGUGCUCGAGUGGCGAACGGGUGAGUAACACGUGAGUAACCUGCCCUUGACUUUGGGAUAACUUCAGGAAACUGGGGCUAAUACCGGAUAGGAGCUCCUGCUGCAUGGUGGGGGUUGGAAAGUUUCGGCGGUUGGGGAUGGACUCGCGGCUUAUCAGCUUGUUGGUGGGGUAGGGGCUUACCAAGGCUUUGACGGGUAGCCGGCCUGAGAGGGUGACCGGCCACAUUGGGACUGAGAUACGGCCCAGACUCCUACGGGAGGCAGCAGUGGGGAAUAUUGCACAAUGGGCGGAAGCCUGAUGCAGCAACGCCGCGUGCGGGAUGACGGCCUUCGGGUUGUAAACCGCUUUCGCCUGUGACGAAGCGUGAGUGACGGUAAUGGGUAAAGAAGCACCGGCUAACUACGUG
rnacentral:rRNA from 1 species